UACGUAGGGUGCAAGCGUUGUCCGGAAUUAUUGGGCGUAAAGAGCUCGUAGGCGGUCUGUCGCGUCUGCUGUGAAAACCCGAGGCUCAACCUCGGGCCUGCAGUGGGUACGGGCAGACUAGAGUGCGGUAGGGGAGAUUGGAAUUCCUGGUGUAGCGGUGGAAUGCGCAGAUAUCAGGAGGAACACCGAUGGCGAAGGCAGAUCUCUGGGCCGUAACUGACGCUGAGGAGCGAAAGCGUGGGGAGCGAACAGG
rnacentral:rRNA from 1 species